rnacentral:rRNA from 1 species
AUUGAACGCUGGCGGCAGGCCUAACACAUGCAAGUCGAACGAGUGGCGGACGGGUGAGUAAUGUCUGGGAAACUGCCUGAUGGAGGGGGAUAACUACUGGAAACGGUAGCUAAUACCGCAUACCAUCAGAUGUGCCCAGAUGGGAUUAGCUAGUUGGUGGGGUAACGGCUCACCAAGGCGACGAUCCCUAGCUGGUCUGAGAGGAUGACCAGCAACACCGGAACUGAGAAACGGUCCAGACUCCCACGGGAGGCCGCAGGGGGGAAUAUUGCACAAUUGGCGCAAGCCUGAUGCAGCCAUGCCGGGUGUAGGAAGAAGGCUUUCUGGUUGUAAAGGACUUUCAGCGGGGGGGCGUUACCCGCAGAAGAAGCAACGGCUAACUCCGUUCCAGCAGCCGCGGUAAUUC